GAUGUACUCCCUCCGUUCGGAAUUACUUGUCGCAGAAAUGGAUGUAUCUAGAUGUAUUUUAGUUCUAGAUACAUCCAUUUUCGAGACAAGUAAUUCUGAAUGGAGGGAGUACAUA
rnacentral:pre_miRNA from 1 species